ensembl:lncRNA
AUGGAGGAAUCUGUCCAGUCUCUGGCUUUGCAUGCUGAGUUGAUGGAGAAAAACAAACAACUGGAGAAGAACAAGGAGGAAAAGACUAAACUUUUAAAAGAGAGCAGGGACAGACUGGUGGAGAUGGAACAGACAAAACAACAACUAGAGGAGAAGAACAAAGAGAUUGAGAAGACAAAACAACAACUAGAGGAGAAGAACAAAGAGAUGGAGAAGACAAAACAACAACUAGAGAAGACGAACAAAGAGAUGGAGAAGACAAAACAACAACUAGAGGAGAAGAAUAAAGAGAUGGAGAAGACAAAACAACAACUAGAGGAGAAGAACAAAGAGAUGGAGAAGACAAAACAACAACUAGAGGAGAAGAACAAAGAGAUGGAGAAAACAAAACAACAACUAGAGGAGAAGAAUAAAGAGAUGGAGAAGACAAAACAACAACUAGAGGGGCACAAGGAGGACAAAAAUAAACUUUUGGAAGAGAGCAAGGAGAGACUGAUGGAGAUGGAGAAGAUAAAACAACAACUGGAGGAGAAUGUGAAAGACAUGGAGAAGACAAAACAACAACUAGAGGAAAAGAAUAAAGAGAUGGAGAAGACAAAACAACAACUACAGGAGAAGAACAAAGAGACAGAGAAGACAAAACAACAACUAGAGGAGAAGAGCAAAGAGAUGGAGAAAACAAAACAACAACUAGAGGACAAGAACACAGAGAUGGAGAAGACAUCACAACAACUAGAGGAGAAUAAUAAAGAGAUGGAGAAGACAAAACAACAACUAGAGGACAAGAAUGAAGAGAUGGAGAAGACAAAACAACAACUAGAGGACAAGAACAAAGAGAUGGAGAAGACAAAACACCAACUAAAGGAGAGGAAUAAACUCCUCCAGGAGAGAGAGACAGAUCUAGAGAACAUGACUAAACGAGAGAAGGAGAGAGAGGGACAACUGGAGAACAUGACCAGUGAGGUGGAGACCAGUAAAAGACAACUGGAGUCACUGGAAAAGGAACUGCAGGACAGGAACAGCCAACUACAGGACCUGAGAACCCAACUACAAGAACAAGGCAGGGAGCUGGAGGAGAGAAACAGGCAGCUGGAGGAGAGAGACAGACAGCUGGAGGAGAGAGACAGACAGUUGGAGGAGAGAGAAAGAGAACAUCUGACUGGUGAGUGCAAGAGAAGAGAUGUGUAUCCUAAGUGUUUAAUAACAUAGACCGUGUGUUGAGGCCCAAAUGACCAAUCAAAGUGAUUCUCUUUCUAAACUAAUUACCCAUUAAUUGAACUGCUACUUUCACGCACAUGGUAUUAACACUCUGACAUACUCACACAUCUCAGCUCCAGUUCCUGUUUUCCCUUUAAAUCUCAGUCUCUGGAGGGCACUGUAGCAGUAGCCCCGACCAUACGCCCACGGGGACACGGGUUCAAAUCCGACCUGCUGUCAUUUCCCGAUCCCACUUCCCACCUCUUCUCUCCAUCUCAUUUCCUGUCCAAACCUUCACUGUCCUAUCGAUUAAAGGCAAAAAGCCCCCUCAAAAAUCUCAGUUUCUCUUUGUGUUGGACUCCUAGAUCCAGAUCCUCCUCACGUCAGGAGAACACGCAGUUUGCCGAUUUUGCCUCCAAACAGUAAGUCUUCAUGUUUGUGAGUCUGCAAUGAAUUUAAUGUUUUGAAAACUCCUCAGUAUU